AGAAUGUAACCAUGGGAUCCUAGAAGGGGAACCUUACUACCCAGUGAAGAGGGUGAUCCGCUGCAAAAAGCAGAAGGGGAUCCAAAUGAAGUUGGUGGAAUGGGAGCCCUGUUCACUCUGUGAGAAAACUUGGCCGCCACAGUGGGUGACGGAGGAGAACACCACGAAUUAAGGAAAUGUUCAAUCCCAUUGUUUUGUUC